UCCUCCAAGGCUAAAUACUCCUGACUGACCGAUAGUGAACCAGUACCGUGAGGGAAAGGCGAAAAGAACCCCGGCGAGGGGAGUGAAAAAGAACCUGAAACCGUGUACGUACAAGCAGUGGGAGCACAGGUUUACCUGUGUGACUGCGUACCUUUUGUAUAAUGGGUCAGCGACUUAUAUUCUGUAGCAAGGUUAACCGUAUAGGGGAGCCGUAGGGAAACCGAGUCUUAACCGGGCGUUAAGUUGCAGGGUAUAGACCCGAAA
rnacentral:rRNA from 1 species